AGAAAUGUACACUUGAUACCUAUAUAAUCUUAUCAACCAAUGUCACCCCAUAAAUUUAAUAAGUAAAUAAAUGAUUUGAAAAUUAAGUAGG